rfam:Candidatus Staskawiczbacteria bacterium RIFCSPLOWO2_01_FTLL_38_12b rifcsplowo2_01_scaffold_2284, whole genome shotgun sequence.
GCCGAUGUAGCUCAGUGGUAGAGCAACUCUUUCGUAAAGAGUAGGUCGCCAGUUCAAAUCUGGCCAUCGGCU